rnacentral:misc_RNA from 1 species
CCGAGUGAGGGCGCUUGCGCCCGACCUCCCAACCCUUUGAUUUAUCAUACCUCAUUAUGCCUCGGGGGCACCGGCGACGGUCCCCCGGCGGCACCCUUCAAACCCCGCAUCAAUUGUCGUCUGAUUAUAAAGUUAAUUCAAUUA